CUUCCUCAUCUAUUGAUAAAAAUUAAAAAUCCACUAUUAAGAUUUUCUUAAUUGGUCAAGAAACAUAACCUUGAACUUGCUAAAAUGGAUUGGCUUGAGGCAAAAAUAUGCAGUUGGAAUGCAAGACAAUAUAUUACUUCUAGAAACUACUACCUCCACUGUUGGGGACAGGGGAAGGUGGGGAAAUGCCAAGACCAUCAUCAUCAAUAAAGUCGCCCUCCUCAUCUUCAUCUUCAGAAUCAUAAUUCAUAAAAUCAUCCUCAUCUUCUAAGUCAGUCCCCACGAUAUUCUCUUCAUAAGAAUCACUUAAAUCAUAGUUAAAGAAAUAAAGAAAAACAACUAAAAACAUACUAAAAUACACACUUUCAUUUUUUAUCCAUUUAAAAAAUGUUAAUAUAUAAAGAAGUGUAAAUUAUAUACUAAUGAAUAUAAGAAGUAUUAGUUAAUCAGCAGAAAAAGAAGGAUACCACCCAGAAUCAUCUCCAAG
rnacentral:lncRNA from 1 species